GGGGGCCCAGCAAUGGGCAACCGGCGAACGGGUGCGUAACACGUGAGCAACCUACCGAACUGUGGGGGAUAGCCGGCCUAACGGCCGAGUAAUACCGCAUACGCUCUCAGUGAGGCAUUUCAUUGAGAGGAAACCUACGGGACAGAUCGAGGGGCUCGCGGCCUACCAGCUAGUUGGCGAGGUAACGGCUCACCAAGGCAACGACGGGUAGCUGGUCUGAGAGGACGGCCAGCCACAUUGGGACUGAGAUACGGCCCAGACUCCUACGGGAGGCAGCAGUGGGGAAUCUUGCGCAAUGGCCUAACGGCUGACGCAGCGACGCCGCGUGUGGGAUGAAGCUCUUCGGAGUGUAAACCACUGUUGCCCGGGACGAAUAGCUCGAUUAAUCGAGCCUGACGGUACCGGGUGAGGAAGCACCGGCUAACUCCGUGCCAGCAGCCGCGGUAAUACGGGGGGUGCGAGCGUUGUCCGGAAUCACUGGGCGUAAAGGGCGCGUAGGUGGUUUGAUAAGGGUGUGGUGAAAGUCCGGGGCUCAACCCCGGAUCUGCCGUGCCGACUGUCAAACUCGAGGACUGUAGAGGCAGACGGAAUUCCGGGUGUAGCGGUGGAAUGCGUAGAGAUCCGGAGGAAGACCGGUGGCGAAGGCGGUCUGCUGGGCAGUUUCUGACACUGAGGCGCGACAGCGUGGGGAGCAAACAGGAUUAGAUACCCUGGUAGUCCACGCCGUAAACGAUGGGUACUAGGUGCCUGGGGGAGCGACCCUCUGGGUGCCGGCGCUAACGCAGGAAGUACCCCGCCUGGGGAG
rnacentral:rRNA from 1 species